AUGAAGGAUGAGGAGCUGGAUGACGUGGUCGUAGGCGAGGAGGAGUUGAGGAAAUUUGAGGUAGAGGCUCGCUGGAUGGCAAUCGGGAAGCUAAACACGACGAGACGUUUUAGUUCCACCGCGAUGUUUGAGACCCUGAAAUCGGUUUGGGGGCUAGCGCAGGUGCCGAAGUUCAGAGAGGCAGGAGAUAAUUUGUUUGUGUUUUAGAUGUUCUGCUUGGGAGACUGGAAGAAGGUCGUCCAUGGCGGCCCGUGGCUGUUCAAGGGGAUGGGCCUUCUGAUUGAGGACUAUGAUGGAAAGACAGAACCGGAGUCGGUGGUCUUCGAUGGCUUGUACGUGUGGGCUCAAAUUCACAAUAUCCCUGAAUUGUAUCGCAAAACAGAAGUUGUUGAUCAACUCGCUCGCCGUAUUGGCAGGGUGAAGGAGGUGGUACUUGCUCCGAAGCUUUACUAUGAGGGAGAUUAUGUCAGGGUGCACGCAAGGGUGAUGGUUGAUAAGCCUCUGACUAGGGUUACGCCAUUAAAUGUCACAGGGGAGGGGCAUCGUUUCCUCCCAGUAAAAUAUGAGAAGAUCCCCUACUUUUGUCAGGUUUGCGGCAUCAUGGGGCACAACCAUGAAGAGUGUGGAGAUGGGGUGUGGGAACCCAAAUAG
rnacentral:rRNA from 1 species